GUUGUAUGGUUAAGUGACUAAGCGUACACGGUGGAUGCCUGGGCAGUCAGAGGCGAUGAAGGACGUACUAACUUGCGAUAAGCGCAGAUAAGGCAGUAAGAGCCGUUUGAGUCUGCGAUUUCCGAAUGGGGAAACCCAACUGCAUAAGCAGUUACUGUUAACUGAAUACAUAGGUUAACAGAGCAAACCGGGGGAACUGAAACAUCUAAGUACCCCGAGGAGAAGAAAUCAACCGAGAUUCCGGUAGUAGCGGCGAGCGAACCUGGAUUAGCCCUUAAGCACUCGGUGAAGUAGGUGAACAAGCUGGAAAGCUUGGCGAUACAGGGUGAUAGCCCCGUAACCGACGCUUCAUCGAGCGUGAAAUCGAGUAGGGCGGGACACGUGAUAUCCUGUCUGAAUAUGGGGGGACCAUCCUCCAAGGCUAAAUACUCCUGACUGACCGAUAGUGAACCAGUACCGUGAGGGAAAGGCGAAAAGAACCCCUGUGAGGGGAGUGAAAUAGAACCUGAAACCGUGUACGUACAAGCAGUAGGAGCACCUUCGUGGUGUGACUGCGUACCUUUUGUAUAAUGGGUCAGCGACUUAUAUUCAGUGGCAAGGUUAACCGUAUAGGGGAGCCGUAGCG
rnacentral:rRNA from 1 species